rnacentral:lncRNA from 1 species
UGAUCUUGGGAUCUCACACCCUCAUCCUCUUGGCCGCCAGGAGGCUCCCCGGCUCAUCUGUGAUGAUCCUGAUGCUGUAACAUGCACAGGAGCAACUCAGAGUGACCAGGGAGUGGACUGGGACCUCCCUGCCUGCUGACCUCCAAGGACUUUCCAGGCCCACUCUGCUUGUCCUCCAGCCCCAGCCACUCCUCCAGGCCACCCUGGGGUCUCACCAGCUUUCUCUUGGAGAUCUCCUGGCCAGAGCUCCUAAGGCUGCAGAAAUCAGAAGGCUGCCCCUCAAGAGGACAGCAGCUCUGCCCUAGUAAUGAGGAGGAAGGAUAACUCUUCUCAGGAAUUAAUGAGACCACCAAGAACAAAAGAGGCGACCAG